rnacentral:tRNA from 1 species
UCCCUGGUGGCUCAGAGGUUAAAGCAUCUGCCUACACUGCGGGAGACCCAGGUUCAAUCCCUGGGUCGGGAA